UUUUUCCUACGGGGGGCAGCAGUGGGGAAUAUUGCACAAUGGGGGAAACCCUGAUGCAGCGACGCCGCGUGAGUGAAGAAGUAUUUCGGUAUGUAAAGCUCUAUCAGCAGGGAAGAUAAUGACGGUACCUGACUAAGAAGCCCCGGCUAACUACGUGCCAGCAGCCGCGGUAAUACGUAGGGGGCAAGCGUUAUCCGGAUUCACUGGGCGUAAAGGGAGCGCAGGCGGCAUGGCAAGUCUGAUGUGAAAACCCGGGGCCCAACCCCGGGAGUGCAUUGGAAACUGCCAGGCUGGAGUGUCGGAGG
rnacentral:rRNA from 1 species